AACCCACCCUCGGUCAAUCUCUUCCUCUCAAAACUCGAAAAACUAGCAAAAAUGGCAGCCUCUCUCACCAUCUCCAGGCUCCUCGCAGCCCCCAAAUCCCUCUCUCUCUCCACCACCGCACCUAAAUCUUCUCUUUUCUCACCUAAAUCCUUCUCUUCAAAGCUCUCCUACACCCCUCUCCCUCUCAAACACUACCCCCACCCAAAACCCCUCCUCCGCUUCUCCACCACCGCCAAACCCACCAUCUCCGCCACCAUCGCCGUCGGCGACAAGCUCCCAGAAGCCACCCUCU
rnacentral:lncRNA from 1 species